UGCACAUGGUGGCGUGAUGAUUUGAGUGGCCGUGCAAUUUUUCAAGUGCGGAAUUAUUGGAUUUGUAACAUUACAACGUUACUAAGUGUAGUAAUAUAUCUAAGAAUUCAUGUUGUGACAGUGUUUAAAAAUGCAGUUCUGUAAAGAGAGGAUUCUCAACGCUGCACAGUUAAAAAGACUUAGUGAACACAAGUAUUCUUGUACGAGUGCCAGUAUAUUGGACGCAUGCCUCCAGCCUUGGUGGUGCUGGCUGGUCUCGAAGACACCGCUAUGGCUCGCACCGAAUCUCAUUACUAUAUUAGGUUUAAUAGUCAAUAUCGUCACCACAUUAAUUUUAGUUUGGUAUAGUCCAGAUGCGCGGCAGGACCCACCACGGUGGGCGUGUGCAUUAUGUGCAUUAGGAGUGUUUGUGUAUCAGAGCCUCGAUGCUAUCGAUGGCAAGCAAGCCCGGCGGACGGGCAGCCAGUCCCCACUGGGGGAGCUCUUCGACCACGGCUGUGACAGUAUAUCCACAAUCUUCAUAGCCCUUGGUGCUUGCAUUGCUGUCAAACUCGGGGAAUAUCCAACAUGGAUGUUCUUUCAGUGCUUUUGCGCAAUGACGCUCUUCUACUGCGCGCAUUGGCAGGCGUACGUGACAGGCACGCUCAAACUCGGGCGGAUAGACGUCACGGAAGCCCAAUACUCCAUUAUCAUCAUCCAGCUGCUCUCAGCAACCCUCGGCGCUGACUUCUGGGCCACUCAGGUGGGCGGAGCGUUGGAGGUGCGGUACUCGUUGGCGUUGGCGGCGGUGGCUGCUGCGUUCCUCACGGUCGGCGCCCUCGCCGCCGCCAUAGUCGCAGGCGGCGUCGGCAAGAACGGCUCCACUGUAGCUCUACCGACCAUAAACAUCAGUUUGAACCUGGCGGCGAAUUACCUAGUGGUGGUGUUCACGCUCUACCUUAUCGCCGGUUACCUUAGAGUCAUAUUGAAGGGCGGAGUGGGCAAAAACGGGUCCACAGUUGCAGGUACAAGCAUCCUGUCUCCGGUGAUUCCGUUCUCGCUGGUCGUUGUGCCGGCUUUCAUCAUCUUCCAGAAGAGUGAAUCUCACGUGUAUGAGAACCACCCGGCGUUGUAUAUCAUCGCGUUUGGAAUGGUCGCUGCUAAAGUCACCAACAGACUUGUGGUGGCGCAUAUGACAAAGAGCGAGAUGGAAUACUACGACUGGUCGCUGCUGGGCCCGGCGAUGCUGUUCCUCAACCAGUAUUUCAACAACGCGAUACCUGAAUACUACGUGCUAUGGUUAUGCACGAUAUGGGUAUGCGUGGACCUGGUGCGGUACUGCGGGCAGAUCUGCCUGGAGAUAUGCGAUCACCUGAAGAUCCAGCUGUUCCGCAUCCCGUACCCGCCGCCGCCGCAGCAAGCCAAGCCGUCCACCACGCAGACGGACAGAAACGGUACGAACCGACGGCAGCCGCCCCGGCACGCGAAACGCGGCUCGCAGGCGUAGGGAGAUCGACGCCGCGCGGCGCAUAGUUGCGAAAUUGCCAUAGGUGACUUCGAUCACGUCGAGUGAGAGUGAUCCGUCCGAUAGCGAAGACGCUGCCCCACUACUGAAUAACAACACAA
rnacentral:misc_RNA from 1 species